GAUUUACCCUUAUAUCUAAUAGAUGACACGUGGACAGCCAAAAAUUGCCCAUUAGGUUUUCUUUGUUUGAAAACUGAACUGGGUGGGUCGAUAUAAUUCAUUAGAUCGGAUUAUGUAAUUGAGGCGGCGGGUUAUAUCUGAAUUGGGUCUAAUUUAAAGAGGACGGCGAACUGGGAACCUUUGCUUUGUCCAGAGAUUUCUGCUUCAAAGUUGAAGGUCAUUUUUGAAUCGGUGUUUGAGGUUAAAGGCUCUGGUAGAGUGUUUAGGUGGAGUUUUGUCCUUCGAGAUUGUGUUGAUUUGACUAUUGUUCGGAAGGGAAAAGCUCAAGUUUUGGAUUAAUUGUGAUUGAUUAAGGUCCGAGUACUAAAUACCAGCGUUGAUUAAAACCUAAUGCGAUCGUGAUCGGAGGCGAGGGUUUAAAGGACGACGAGACAAACGGAAUAAGAAGUAACCCGUAACAGAGAACGUUGGAGUUAGUGAUCUUGGGCAGCUUCUUCCUUUGCAUGUGGGAGCCUUGAAGUAAUUGUUUGACAUCCUUUUCAGCUUGACUAGUAGUGGUAGCAGGUGUGUUGGCUUUAACUGAUUUGUCAUGUACAUUGGUGUUCAAUCCUUAAGAGAAAUGAGCAUAAGCAGGAUGCUGACUGGAAUUUGAGUCAAUAUAUGAAGUGUUUGCACUUUGUAUCUUCCUCUUUGACUUAAAGUCUGGUGAAUAUCCAACAACUUUGUAACAGUAUUUCUUAGUGUGGCCUCUACACUUGUAAAAGUCACAUACUAGCAGUGUAUUUUUCUUGAACUUAUGAUUUGCACCUGAGAUGAUCACACCUUUAAAGUACAUUGCUGCUGACUCUAAGAUGGAAGCAUUUAGUCCCAAAGUAUUGAUGGUUGU